rnacentral:misc_RNA from 1 species
AACGCACCUUGCGCCCUUUGGCAUUCCGAGGGGCACACCUGUUUGAGCGUCGUGAAUAUCUCAACCCAUUUCACUUUGGAUGGGCUUUGGACUUGGAGGUCUUGCCGUGUACAUUGCAUCGGCUCCUCUUGAAUGGAUUAGCGAGGACCCUUUGCAUGGCCUUGACGUGAUAAUGAAUGUCGUCGUCAGCCUUGCUCUGCUCGGAAUCGCUUCUAACUGUCUUUGGACAAAUGGCUCGCAUGAGUCAAAUGAAACUUGACCUCAAAUCAGGUGGGACUACCCGCUGAACUUAA